rnacentral:rRNA from 1 species
GAUGAACGCUGGCGGCGUGCCUAAUACAUGCAAGUCAAGUGAACAGAUGAGGAGAUUGCCCCUCUGACGUUAGCGGCGGACGGGUGAGUAACAAGUGGAUAACCCACCUAUAAUACUGGAACAACUUCGGGAAACCGGUACUAACACAGGAUAAUAUAUCGAAACAUAUGGACCAUUAGUAAAAGAAUGUUUUGUUAAGAUUUACAGACGGAUCGACGCCGCAUUAGCUAGUUGGCAAGGUAGCGGCUUAACAAGGCAACGCUGCGUAGCUGACCUGAUGGGGUGAUCGGCCGCACUGGAACUGAGACACGGUCCAGACUCCUAGAGGAGGCAGCAGUAGGGAAGCUACCGCAAUGGGCGAAUGCCUGACGGAGCAACGCCGCGUGAGUGAUGAAGGUCUUCGGAUCGUAAGACUCUGUUAUUAGGGAAGAAGAAAUGUGUAAGUAACUAUGCACGUCUUGACGGUACCUAAUCAGAAAGCCACGGCUAACUACGUG